rnacentral:rRNA from 1 species
GUCUCCACCCGAGACUCAGUGAAAUUGAACUCGCUGUGAAGAUGCAGUGUACCCGCGGCAAGACGGAAAGACCCCGUGAACCUUUACUAUAGCUUGACACUGAACAUUGAGCCUUGAUGUGUAGGAUAGGUGGGAGGCUUUGAAGUGUGGACGCCAGUCUGCAUGGAGCCGACCUUGAAAUACCACCCUUUAAUGUUUGAUGUUCUAACGUGGACCCGUGAUCCGGGUUGCGGACAGUGUCUGGUGGGUAGUUUGACUGGGGCGGUCUCCUCCUAAAGAGUAACGGAGGAGCACGAAGGUUGGCUAAUCCUGGUCGGACAUCAGGAGGUUAGUGCAAUGGCAUAAGCCAGCUUGACUGCGAGCGUGACGGCGCGAGCAGGUGCGAAAGCAGGUCAUAGUGAUCCGGUGGUUCUGAAUGGAAGGGCCAUCGCUCAACGGAUAAAAGGUACUCCGGGGAUAACAGGCUGAUACCGCCCAAGAGUUCAUAUCGACGGCGGUGUUUGGCACCUCGAUGUCGGCUCAUCACAUCCUGGGGCUGAAGUAGGUCCCAAGGGUAUGGCUGUUCGCCAUUUAAAGUGGUACGCGAGCUGGGUUUAGAACGUCGUGAGACAGUUCGGUCCCUAUCUGCCGUGGGCGCUGGAGAACUGAGGGGGGCUGCUCCUAGUACGAGAGGACCGGAGUGGACGCAUCACUGGUGUUCGGGUUGUCAUGCCAAUGGCACUGCCCGGUAGCUAAAUGCGGAAGAGAUAAGUGCUGAAA